UUCGUGGUUCAAUCCUACCUGCGCCCGUCUCCUUCUCCGACACAAACUCUCUUCGAGCUCGCACGCGCCCAUGGGUGUCCGGCACAGGUCGGUGCUUGCCUAGCCUCUCUCCCAUAAAUACUCCACGGUUGACGCGAUGGGAAAGAUGAAGGCGGAGCAACAAGAUGAUCAGCCGUAAGCCGAGACCGUUCCCACAGGCAAUUCAUCCGGCUACGUAUCUCGCCGAGGCCAAUGGCAGCAACAGCCGAGGCCCAAGUCGUUGGGAUUCCCUUUUUCUCCGCGGCACCAUACCCGGUAUCUCCGUACUGUUGCUCCGUUGCCGGUCGGCAGAAGGAGGUGGCCGGCGUCGCCCCCGUCUUCAAAUCCCCUGGUCACUCGAUCUCAUCCGCCGGCGCUGGGUGCCCGCACCAGAUUUGUGCUCCCUAUAUCGAGCGACCGACGGCUGCUGCUCCCAGCCCCGGAUCUGCUCCUCCUCGCCACUUGCAAACCGUGGCUCCGAUGAUCCACGACAGGGGAUGAUGACCCACGGCGACAGAGGAUGACGACGUAUGGUUGCUGCUUCCAAUCACCACCAUGGACCCGCCACUCCAACGACCAUGGCGGGGACGACCACCCAUGGAUGUAACUCCCCACCACCGGUCUUCUCCAUCGGUACAGCAAGCUGCUCCUCCAUCCUGUCCGUCCCAGCCAACGCCAGAGGCCUCCUCCGCUGCCUCCUCCGACCCAUGCUGUAGCAACCUUCAUACGAGGCCGCUAUGGUGCCGCGUCGGCUGCCCAGGAGGGUAGCUUGAGCUAGCACACAAAAGCCCAUUGAAGAGAUUGAUCCAAGUGCUUCUGAACUGUUAGGCCCUCAAAGUUUCAAGCAGAAGCCCAAAAGAAGAAGGAUCAAGAACAUCUGAUACUACUAUUGAAGAUAAUGCAGUAUGUGUGGAGGAAUGUGCCAAUUACAGGUGCAGGAAUGUGGUGGAUCAACUCUUCUUCACCUUGGGAUUGAUCAUAUUCAGAUGUAUUAUGAAUUUAUGAUGAGAUGGACAGCAUUGUAGUGACAUGGAUGAAGCACUGUAUUGAAAUAGAAGACGUGGACCUAUGAGGUGGUUGUCCGAUCGGCUAGGGCAAAAAACCAACACAAAGGCACACCCGGAUCGACCUGCACGUCAUCGCUAUUGGUGUCGCAACUUUGAGAUCGAUUUUCAGACCUGUCUCCAUGCUUUUGCCCCGGGUGUGAAAUCAACUUUCUAAGAUUGACCUGGCUAUUGUUUUCGCUUUCCUGCUCAAUACAAAAAAGGGAUUGUUCAGACUGAUUUAUGUUUGUGCAAGCAGCUCUCAAGGAACCUCCGCCGAAGAUUUACAAGGUGAAGGACUUGAACUGUAUCUCACGUCCACUAGCCCACACCCAGGUCUCCGCCAGCAGCCCUCCGAUUGCGCCACUGGUCCGCCUCUCUAAGUCUCUGUCGAUCGGCUGUUCUUCUCGGACCUUACCAGCAAACUCCUGUACUUCUCCACCAGAAAUAAAGUCCAUAUCUAUGAUGGAUAUACCAAAGAUGAUUUGUUCAACAAGAUGAGUGCUGCAGUAUUUAUAUGAACUGGAGUAAUGCAGUAGUGUAUCUGUAUGGUUUGAAAAUCCUUUCUUUUUCAGUUGUAUAUUAGAAUGGAAUUUGUACGGUUUGGUCUGCAUUUUCACAACCAAUAUGUGGAGUUGAAGUAGUGUAAAUUGUUUCACUUGCUUUUUGGCCAAUAUCCCUGUAUAUGUUUUGCUUUUUCACUAUUUAUUUGUACUGUUGCUUAAUGUAUUGUUUGGUCGUCUUCCUGUUCGGUCUGCAUCAAUGAAUUGACGCCCUGAAGCUCUUUUUGAUUUCUAUAAUCCGUAAGCACAUAUGAGCAUCGAAAGAAAAUAAUAUCCCAUGAUGAAACGUGAGCAAGCCUUGGUGUAUAUAUGAACGAACUGAUUUUUUUCCUGCAUUACAGGUGAAGGAAAAAAAUACAAUCUCCAUAAGCUCCGCGGCCUUGAGGCCGAUCCCCGGGUUUAUGCUCUUCUCUUUGUCUCAUAGUUGGAAUUUCUUAUGUUUUGACUAUAAAACUAAUGUAAGUGUGUUCUGUUGUCAUGCAUAGUUGGUGUUAGAUGGAGGAAUGCGAACGUGGAAGAGUACACGAAGAUUCUGUACUAUAAUGGGAUCAACUGCAGGGACAAGCAGCAUCACAUGACAAUCUUAGUUGUGUAUAUGGAAUUAUAGAUCAGUCGACUGGGAUAGCCGCCAAUCCUCAAUCCCAACCCAACUUCAAAAUCAAAAUCUUGCUCACUUGGCUAAUCGGCGAUGUUGAUAGUGGCAGGGAGGAGAUGGAUAAGGAGGACUAGGCAUUGGUGCUGAGGUGUCAAAUGGGAAAGAGGCACCGUCGAGCCUGGAUCACAACAAGGACAACGAUCUCGACCUGAGCAACAGGAAAAGACCACGAGCAAAUCAUGGCCAUGCACACCAAGGUAUUUUUUCUGGAGGAGGAUAAACCCCAGCCUCCCGUGGUCACUUAGUGCAUGGAUGUGAUUUAUGUGCUUGUGGGUUUUCCCAUCGUGAUAGAUACUAUAUCUGAUGUGUUUUCAUUCUUCACAAUAUAUUUUCAUUCCAAUCAACAUAUCUGAUAUGUUUUGAUUAACCUUACACUCUUAAGCGUACAUAAAAAAAUUAGAAGCUUAUCUUGUAAGGUUCAGUAGUUCCAUCAUGUUCAAACACUCAUAAGUUUCUAUUGAUUAGGAAGAUGUUGGCUUCACGUUGUUUUGCCUUUAGCUGCUGGUUUUUUGCUACGAUAAACUGAAAUAACUAAUGCACAUCUCCUAACAUAAGUUUUGGAUCAUGAAUUGUAAUUGAAAUCCAUAGAAUGCAGAUUAGAUGCACCAAGAAGGUAAAGAUUGUGUUGGCACAUACUACGAUCUGAUGUAGUGAUAUUCUGUUGCUUUUUGGUCAAUGUAAAUUGUAUUACGUUUUCAUGGAAGCCUUUUCUUUCCCCUCUCUCAUCAUACUACUGCUCUUAUCCUUGGUUCCCAUAUAAACAAAGGAAUAUGAUGGCUGACAUAGUGAUACUCUUCCUCAGCAACAUCCAGAUACAUGAUGUUCCAUCAACAACUUCAGAAUAUGCUGGUGAUGCUCAACCUGCAACUUUGCACCCAUACUGCCUGUUUGUUUUAUCUAGAAAAUUGACAGAUUUUUUAUGUGUUUCAUUAUGAACUAAUUAUUAGAAAAUAUUUCUUUGUGAAUUAUGAGAUUGAUCUUUCAACAUGGCAUAGAAAAUGCACUUUUCAAUACUUCUAAUAAUGUUUUGCUCCUUGCAAAGUUGUUUGAGUUUUUAUUUAAAAUUUCUAUGAACAAGUUUAUUUAUUGUGUACCCGUUGCAACGCACGGGCAUUUGUGCUAGUCUUUCCCUAAUAAUAAAGCACGGAUUGACUUUGUCGGGUUCACCAUCACAAUACGUUUUUUUCUCGUGAAUUUACGCUUUCAGUUUAAAUAAAAAACAUAUACGCGAGGUGGUACUAAUUGGUUAGUCCCUAAUUUUUGUCCGUCUUUGUUCGUCCGUCUAUCCUAUUUGGUCACGUACGGCUGGAUCACCAUAUGUAUGGGCCGUGCGUAACCAAAAUUCCCCGCAUGGGCCGCACAUAGCUUAUUUUGUGCAUCCCCGCAUGGGCCAAGGUGGGCCUAGUCGGAUAUUUUGGCAAAAUAAUAAAUUUACUUGCCUCAGGAAUUGAACUCGCGAUCUCUCAGACCAUACCAUACACACCUACCAACUAAGCCAUAUCAACGGAUGUGUAGUCAAGACGUUUACUUUUCUUAUUCAAUAGUACCACCUCGCCCCCUUACAACUGAAAGCACCAACAUAUAUACGUCUUAGAAUUACACCUUAUCAACCACCUCAAUAAGUCGGCUAAGGAAGGAAGGAAAAUGAGUCCAGGGAAGGAAAGAUAUAUACAUCCAUACUAUUAAAAUAGGCAGGAAGGUCUAGGUCAAGACGAGGUGGAUGAUUCAUCUGCCUAAGUUGGGUAGGGUCCAUCAACAACACGAAACUGCUCGGUAAAAGAAUAUUUCAGAGUUGCGCCUUAGAAAAUCAAGCCAUGAAAAUACUGUCAAUUUUUCUGUUUUUUCAAAGGCCUUUGAAAAAUAAUUAUCUCUUUGUGGCACAUAUUUACCUCCUCUUCAACGGUUUUCAUGUUAACUGGACCCCAUUAAAGAUUACAUCACCUAGGCGCCAACUCAAUAUGAGGGCGCUCAAAAACAAGCCGACGAACUUCCGCACUCGAGAAUUUAAAAAAAAUGUUUCAUGUCUACCACAUCUGCACAACCUGAUUCUCAUGCCUUGCAAGCUAUGUUACUUUAGUUGAAGGAAGGAUAAUGUAGGGAUGCUAUUUUCUCCCGUUGCA